rnacentral:rRNA from 1 species
GGUGAACGCUGGCGGCGUGCCUAAUACAUGCAAGUAGAACGCUGAAGGAAGGAGCUUGCUCUUUCCGGAUGAGUUGCGAACGGGUGAGUAACGCGUAGGUAUCCUGCCUGGUAGCGGGGGAUAACUAUUGGAAACGAUAGCUAAUACCGCAUAACAGUAGAUGUUGCAUGACAACUAUUUGAAAGGGGCAAUUGCUCCACUACCAGAUGGACCUGCGUUGUAUUAGCUAGUUGGGGAGGUAACGGCUCACCAAGGCGACGAUACAUAGCCGACCUGAGAGGGUGAUCGGCCACAACGGGAAUGAGGAACGGCCCAGAAUCCUAAGGGAGGCAGCAGUAGGGAAUUUUCGGCAAUGGACGGAAGUCUGACCGAGCAACGACGCGUGAGGGAAGAAGGUUUUCGGAUCGUAAAGCUCUGUUUUAAGAGAAGAACGAGUGUGAGAGUGGAAAGUUCACACUGUGACGGUAUCUUACGAGAAAGGGACGGCUAACUACGUG